rnacentral:rRNA from 1 species
GAUUGAACGCUGGCGGCAGGCCUAACACAUGCAAGUCGAGCGGAUGAAGGGAGCUUGCUCCUGGAUUCAGCGGCGGACGGGUGAGUAAUGCCUAGGAAUCUGCCUGGUAGUGGGGGAUAACGUCCGGAAACGGGCGCUAAUACCGCAUACGUCCUGAGGGAGAAAGUGGGGGAUCUUCGGACCUCACGCUAUCAGAUGAGCCUAGGUCGGAUUAGCUAGUUGGUGGGGUAAAGGCCUACCAAGGCGACGAUCCGUAACUGGUCUGAGAGGAUGAUCAGUCACACUGGAACUGAGACACGGUCCAGACUCCUACGGGAGGCAGCAGUGGGGAAUAUUGGACAAUGGGCGAAAGCCUGAUCCAGCCAUGCCGCGUGUGUGAAGAAGGUCUUCGGAUUGUAAAGCACUUUAAGUUGGGAGGAAGGGCAGUAAGUUAAUACCUUGCUGUUUUGACGUUACCAACAGAAUAAGCACCGGCUAACUUCAUG